GGUUAAGUUAGAAAGGGCGCACGGUGGAUGCCUUGGCACUAGGAGCCGAAGAAGGACGGGACUAACACCGAUAUGCUUUGGGGAGCUGUACGUAAGCGUUGAUCCAGAGAUUUCCGAAUGGGGGAACCCACUAUCUUUAGUCGGAUAGUAUCCUUACGUGAAUACAUAGCGUAAGGAAGGCAGACCCAGGGAACUGAAACAUCUAAGUACCUGGAGGAAGAGAAAGAAAAAUCGAUUUCCUGAGUAGCGGCGAGCGAAACGGAAAGAGCCCAAACCAAGAAGCUUGCUUCUUGGGGUUGUAGGACACUCUAUACGGAGUUACAAAAGAAAGUUAUAAAUGAAGCGGUCUGGAAAGGCCCGCCAAAGACGGUAACAGCCCGGUAGUUGAAAUGGCUUUCCCUCCAGAGUGGAUCCUGAGUACGGCGGAACACGUGAAAUUCCGUCGGAAUCCGGGAGGACCAUCUCCCAAGGCUAAAUACUCCCUAGUGACCGAUAGUGAACCAGUACCGUGAGGGAAAGGUGAAAAGCACCCCGGAAGGGGAGUGAAACAGUUCCUGAAACCGUGUGCCUACAAGUAGUUAGAGCCCGUUAAUGGGUGAUAGCGUGCCUUUUGUAGAAUGAACCGGCGAGUUACGAUUUGUUGCAAGGUUAAGCGGAAAAAGCGGAGCCGUAGCGAAAGCGAGUCUGAAUAGGGCGCAUAAGUAACAGGUCGUAGACCCGAAACCAGGUGAUCUACCCAUGUCCAG
rnacentral:rRNA from 1 species